AGGCCUUCCUGCCCCACUCCCGGAACAGGCCGGCUGCUUUCAGGGCCAGAAGAGCCAGCCCUUUGGAGGAGGAGGCUUGUGAGAGUGGGGAUGGGCCGCAGAGCCUCCCCAGGCAGGGCAGCGUUGCAGCUUGCAUGUGGCAGGGAUGUAGGGUGAAGCUGUGCAGGGCAAAAGACAGAUUGAGCUUCUAGAGCCUCAGAGAUGGAAUUCGCCGUUUUGCCGCGAUUUGGCGUUAACUUAUUGACCCAUGGGGAGGAGGGUCACUUCCCGUGAAAAGAAGGCAGAGAUGUUUUGCUGUGCCCAGUGUGAGGAAGCGAAGGAAAAGAAAGAUCUUUUGAAAAUGUGUACAUCUACUUGCAGCUUGAAAAUUCCAAGUGCCAGACAUUUUUCUUGGAGGAAAUAAAUGUCUUCAAUUUAUUC
rnacentral:lncRNA from 1 species